rnacentral:misc_RNA from 1 species
AAGUCGUAACAAGGUUUCCGUAGGUGAACCUGCGGAAGGAUCAUUAACAAUUGUCCAUUUUCCUUUGCAUAUGGAUGGUUUAAAUCCAUAUCCACCUUCGUGUGCACAUCAUUGACAUGUUUGCUUUGGCAGUUUGCGGGAGAUCCUUUACCGUUUCUCCGUGGAGGGAAAGAGAGAGAGAGAGACAGAAGGGGGAGAGCGAUGGAGAAGAUGAAAUAUUCUUCUCUCUCUGCUUCUCUCCUUCCUUCUCGCCCCCUCUCCUUCCUCCGGCGCUGCCAGAGUUUUUUCUCUCGUUUCACG